AAAAAUAAAUAUCGCUGCUGUUUUUUUCUAAUUCACUGAUUACAGCCGUAUGGGGACCGUGCUACUAUUAAACUAUUGAAUUCAUGGAGACAAGGUUGAAAUUGGACCGAAUUCGCUGUCACAUGAUUGCGUCUGCCCAAUGACAAUUUGGGGUUUAAUCAAAAGAAGGCACUGUCUAUGUGAUUGAUCCAAAAAGUCAGAGAGGAACGCCUCAUUCUGGGCUAGCAGUGUUUUGAUUCCUACUUUUUGAUCCAUCUUCCCAUAUUAAAUGUGUAAAAAAUUUCAGUUUUAAAGCUUGUGGAAAUCAGUUCACACAUCCUGGCUUGUUUCUUACAGCCUCCCUCUAUGUCUUCCGCACACUUGCUGGCUCCUCUUUCUCUGUGUGUUACCGACUGUCACGAAGACGACUUGCACCUCACAAAUCAUCUUGCACCUAAAUCUGACGCCUAGAGUCAUUAACAAAGUAAUCCAUUAAUCUUCAAAGUUUUGACAUUGGACCCCAGAACCCAGCCACAUAAGAAGUUACACAAGGCGAAGCUACAGCCAUUUGCUUCCAUGCUUUCGUUGGGAAUUCUGUCCCCCUAUUAUUAUAUCUGUACUGUACCGGAUAUUCCUUGAUUUUUGUGCUGUAUGGAGGCAAUAGUUCACGCAGGAGAUCGAAUAUGGUGGUGAUUCUGGAAACUCCAUUACAUUUUUGUAGUCGUUUGUUUAUGGCCAACGAAAAACGUAAACGGCAAUUCAUUGCAGCAUGUGGAUUAUGUACUGGAGAAGGAACGAGGCGAUAAUGGCAGUACAACCCGGCUGGUGAUCUUUUGAGUGUGCAUUGUAAUAUCUGAACCUUUUAAGAUGUGCUAUGUACAUGUCUUGAUCAAACAAUCUAUUAUUAAUAAUUAAAGAAAAUUAAUCCAA